AUGAGAUUUGUUUCUACGGAUAUGAAGGAUAGAAAUCUGCUAUUUGCUGCUAUUACAACGAAUCAACCAAUUCGUAGUAAGUGUUCCUGUCUUCCCGAUCUACAUGAUUUUUUCCCAACCAACAUCUCUCAGAACUUUGCUAUAACGCCAAACUUGGAUAUAACGCCAACGCCUGAGCGAAUUGCCGGCGUCACAAUAGUUUUACAAAUAGAAGAGUAUUUGGGCCAAAAUGAGUCCGAACAGGGAGCAGUCAAUUUAGCUAGAACAGUAUUGGGAGCCCGCCACCGAAAUGGCGAAACUUGGCAGGGCAUAUUAGAGGAUAUUCGGGCGGGUGGUGGUAUGGAUAAUUUUAUCCAGAAUCUGCCUGGUGCCUACCCGGAAACCCCAUUGGAUCAAUUUGCCAUUAUCCCAAUAAUUGAUCUUCAUGUGGGCAACUUUUAUUUAUCAUUUACAAAUGAAGUCUUGUAUAUGCUGCUCACUGUCGUUUUGGUCGUUUUUCCUUUUUUUUGUUGUUACGAAAAAGGGAGGUGGAAAGUCAGUGCCAAAUGCAUGGCAAUCCUUGGUCGAGCUUAUUUAUGA
rnacentral:rRNA from 1 species